rnacentral:lncRNA from 1 species
CCAUCUUGCUCUUGCCGCGUGCUGGUGUUGGAGGACCCUCCCUGCUUCAGAUUUACCAACAGCAUGAAUCAAGAAAAGUUAGCCAAACUUCAGGCUCAGGUCCAGAUAGGGGGCAAGGAUACAGCUCGCAGAAAGAAGAAGGUGGUACAUAGAACAGCCACAGCUGAUGACAAAAAGCUUCAGAGUUCUCUAAAAAAAACUGGCUGUGAAUAAUAUAGCUGGUAUUGAAGAGUCUUGGACAGUAAAGCACCAAAACCAGAAGACAUUGAUGAGGAAGAUGAUGAUGUUCCAGAUCUUGUAGAAAAUUUUGAUGAGGCAUCAAAGAAUGAAGCUAACU